UUCCGUCGCUACUACCGAUUGAAUGGUUUAGCAAGGUCAUCGGAUCGGUGCCAUUGUAGUUGUUUCGGCAACUCGACCGGUGCUGAGAAGACGACCAAACUUGAUCAUUUAGAGGAAGUAAAAGUCGUAACAAGGUUUCCGUAGGUGAACCUGCGGAAGGAUCAUUA
rnacentral:rRNA from 1 species